rnacentral:rRNA from 1 species
GAUGAACGCUGGCGGCGUGCCUAAUACAUGCAAGUCGAGCGAACAGACGAGGAGCUUGCUCCUCUGACGUUAGCGGCGGACGGGUGAGUAACACGUGGAUAACCUACCUAUAAGACUGGGAUAACUUCGGGAAACCGGAGCUAAUACCGGAUAAUAUAUUGAACCGCAUGGUUCAAUAGUGAAAGACGGUUUUGCUGUCACUUAUAGAUGGAUCCGCGCCGCAUUAGCUAGUUGGUAAGGUAACGGCUUACCAAGGCAACGAUGCGUAGCCGACCUGAGAGGGUGAUCGGCCACACUGGAACUGAGACACGGUCAAGACUCCUAAGGGAGGCAGCAGUAGGGAAUCUUCCGCAAUGGGCGAAAGCCUGACGGAGCAACGCCGCGUGAGUGAUGAAGGUCCUCGGAUCGUAAAACUCUGUUAUUAGGGAAGAACAAAUGUGUAAGUAACUAUGCACGUCUUGACGGUACCUAAUCAGAAAGCCACGGCUAACUACGUG